rnacentral:rRNA from 1 species
CCGCGUGCGGGAGGACGGCCUGUGGGUUGUAAACCGCUUUUCUCAGGGAAGAAGAUCUGACGGUACUUGAUGAAUCAGCAUCGGCUAACUCCGUGCCAGCAGCCGCGGUAAUACGGAGGAUGCAAGCGUUAUCCGGAAUAAUUGGGCGUAAAGCGUUCGUAGGUGGUGAUGUAAGUCUGCUGUUAAAGCGUGUAGCUCAACUACAUAUAGGCAGUGGAAACUACAUGACUAGAGUGCGUUCGGGGCAGAGGGAAUUCCUGGUGUAGCGGUGAAAUGCGUAGAGAUCAGGAAGAACACCGGUGGCGAAGGCGCUCUACUAGACCGCAACUGACACUGAGGGACGAAAGCUAGGGGAGCGAAUGGGAUUAGAUACCCCAGUAGUC